UGGGUGCUANCAUCCAGUUUANANGAGGCCGGUAGCAUACGAGCCGAGCGGCNAACGGGUGAGUACGCGUGGAUAACCUGCCCUGAGGUGGGGAAUAACCCGGGGAAAACUCGGGCUAAUACCGCAUGAAACCGAGAGGUCAAAGAGGGGAGCAAUCCUCUUGCCGCAGGAGGGGUCCGCGUUCGAUUAGCUAGUUGGUAGGGUAAUGGCCUACCAAGGCGACGAUCGAUAGCCGGCCUGAGAGGGUGAUCGGCCACACUGGAACUGAGACACGGUCCAGACUCCUACGGGAGGCAGCAGUGGGGAAUUUUGCGCAAUGGGCUAACGCCUGACGCAGCAACGCCGCGUGGAGGAUGAAGGUCUUUGGAUUGUAAACUCCUGUCAGCAGGGAAAAAGCGACUUGACCUAAUACGUCAGGGCACGUUGAUAUGUACCUGCAGAGGAAGCCCCGGUAACUCUGUGCCAGCAGCCGAGGUAAUACAAGAGGGGCAANCGUUAUUNCGGAAUUACUUCGGGCCGUAAAAGGGCCGCGUAAGCGGCUUUCAAGUGA
rnacentral:rRNA from 1 species